rnacentral:rRNA from 1 species
AGCGGCGGACGGGUGAGUAACGCGUGGGUAACCUGCCUCAUACAGGGGGAUAACAGUUAGAAAUGACUGCUAAUACCGCAUAAGACCACAGCACCGCAUGGUGCGGGGGUAAAAACUCCGGUGGUAUGAGAUGGACCCGCGUCUGAUUAGCUAGUUGGUAAGGUAACGGCUUACCAAGGCGACGAUCAGUAGCCGACCUGAGAGGGUGACCGGCCACAUUGGGACCGAGACACGGCCCAA